GGCGAACGGGUGAGUAACACGUGAGCAACCUGCCCCUGACUUCGGGAUAACCGCGGGAAACCGUGGCUAAUACCGGAUAUGACGCGCUAUCGCAUGGUGGUGUGUGGAAAGAUUUAUCGGUUGGGGAUGGGCUCGCGGCCUAUCAGCUUGUUGGUGGGGUGAUGGCCUACCAAGGCGACGACGGGUAGCCGGCCUGAGAGGGUGACCGGCCACACUGGGACUGAGACACGGCCCAGACUCCUACGGGAGGCAGCAGUGGGGAAUAUUGCACAAUGGGCGCAAGCCUGAUGCAGCGACGCCGCGUGAGGGAUGACGGCCUUCGGGUUGUAAACCUCUUUCAGUAGGGAAGAAGGCCUUCGGGUUGACGGUACCUGCAGAAGAAGCGCCGGCUAACUACGUGCCAGCAGCCGCGGUAAUACGUAGGGCGCAAGCGUUGUCCGGAAUUAUUGGGCGUAAAGAGCUCGUAGGCGGUUUGUCGCGUCUGCUGUGAAAACGCGAGGCUUAACCUCGCGCCUGCAGUGGGUACGGGCAGACUAGAGUGCGGUAGGGGAGACUGGAAUUCCUGGUGUAGCGGUGGAAUGCGCAGAUAUCAGGAGGAACACCGGUGGCGAAGGCGGGUCUCUG
rnacentral:rRNA from 1 species